rnacentral:rRNA from 1 species
GACGUUUACUUUGAAAAAAUUAGAGUGUUCAAAGCAGGCCUUUGCUCGAAUACAUUAGCAUGGAAUAAUAGAAUAGGACGUGUGGUUCUAUUUUGUUGGUUUCUAGGACCGCCGUAAUGAUUAAUAGGGAUAGUCGGGGGCAUCAGUAUUCAAUCGUCAGAGGUGAAAUUCUUGGAUUGAUUGAAGACUAACUACUGCGAAAGCAUUUGCCAAGGAUGUUUUCAUUAAUCAGUGAACGAAAGUUAGGGGAUCGAAGACGAUCAGAUACCGUCGUAGUCUUAACCAUAAACUAUG